CUCAACCACUCUUGCUUUGCAUUUGAGAAUUUAAGUCACUUGACCAAAGUCGAACAACAGUGAUUAUAUAACUACAGUGAUUCUGGCGUGUUCUCAACAAAUAAUAACCUCAGAAACAAGUAGGCACUUGGAGACAUUGGGCUGUGGAUUCAGGUUGCCUAGGUUUGAAUCCUAGUCCCAAAAUUUACUAAGGCUCUCUGAUAGUGGGCACGUUAUUUAACUUCCUCAGACCUGUUUCCCCAUCUACAAAAUUGGAUUACCUGUGCUCCAAGGUUUGUGAUCUAGAAUUCAAUUAAUAAAUUCAGGCAAAUUAUUCCAAUUAUAUUAAGCACUAGUACUCAAAGCUGACAUUUGAGGCUCAAAUGGAGUGUCUUCUUAGCUUUUGUCUCCUGUCAUUUCAGCCCUAAGCCGAAAUCCAAAAAUAAUGGGAAAAUUCUAUGCCCUGAUAUAACACAGAAUUUUAAAGGAAGCUACAAUAUCCCAUACUCCUUGCUUCAUACUCUAGAAUCCAUUUAAAUGAGGUUUAAAAUUGUUCUGGUUGAGUCAUUCCUUCCAGUCAAGGCAUAUUCUAUCUGAAGGACUCAAAUUAAUUAGCUAUAGUUAACAGAUUAUUAAGUCAACUGGCUCCUAAGGAGAUGGUGAGAGAGGCCAUGUGGGUACACCAUGAGAAGUCUGUCAUCUACAGGAAAGGAAGAGAGCCCUCACAGGAAAGUGACUUUGCCAGACUUUGACCUGGAAUGUCUAUUCUCCAGAACUGGCUCCUUCUUCAUAGGCUGGGGGUGUUUACAAAGAGGAUAAUGGCAUUAAACCAGCAAGGAAGUGUUGCUCUCCAGGAUAGAAUGUACGAUUAGUAGAUGAGAAACUGAGAUGCAUGGAGCCUCAACAUGAAGAUGAUGAAAAUGGAGACCUUUAUCGUGAUCCACUUCUAAUUAAUGAAUAAGAGGAUUGGGCCAAGCUGGGUGAUCAGACAUCAUACACAGAGAAGAAGCAAGAGAGAGGAGGAACAAGGUGUGCAGUGGACAGCCAGUGCCAAGACCUCAGACAUAUGACAAGCAAUAGUAGCCAGAAUCCUGGAGUGAAUAGACAUGGAGCAGAGCUGCAUUUUCUUCUCAACUGACAAGUCAUGUAGAGGAAAUAAAUCCCUUGAGGACAGUGAAGAAAUAACUUUGAGAUCACCUUCCCAUCCUUCUGAUUUCUUCAAUGAAAGCUUAAAUGGAUUUUCAAAAAAUCAGAGAGCUUGGACAAAAAGUUGAAACAAGUUCAUAUCCUAAGCAUGAUGAAUAAGCCAUGGCAGCUUACACAGACUUGAAGGCCAAUCACCUAUGGGCUAGCACAAAGGAAUUCAGCCUUUUUUGAAGUGGGUGGUUUGACCUCUCUUUAUUGUGGAAGCAAAGCAAAUGGCCCCAAACCAUCUGGAUCUGCUGUUAUCACUAGACGAAUUAUUGCCCAGAAUGUGAAACAAAGGUUAGAAGACUUCACAUUGGAAUCCUGGGUCUGCCGUUAAAUAAUAAGGAACAAGCACUACCUCAUGGAGAGAUGGAAACUCCAAAAGAUUAAGCAAGAAGCCCAUAGGAACACAAUUAGUAGAGCACUGAAUAAUAUUUCACUGUACUGAUGUACCAAGUUUAUCCAUUCACCUACUGGAGGACAUCUUGGUUGUUCUAUGUUUUGGCAAUUAUGAAUAAAGCUGCUAUAAAUGUU
rnacentral:lncRNA from 1 species